UUGAAGAACAAGAUAUUUACCAUCUAGUGGAAGAACUCAAACAUGUUGUUCUCCAACCUUCUGAAGGUGGUCAUGGCUUCAAUAUGGCUAGAAUCCAGUAUUGCCCAGAAAGUAACUCAAGACCAAUCAUCAGUGUUAGUGCAGGAGAAGGAGGCUGUCACCCUGAACUGCAGAUACGACACCAGUUCUAGCAGUUAUAGUCUAUUCUGGUACAAGCAGUCCAGCACUGGGGUGAUGAUGUUACUGAUUCGUCAGGACUCUUAUAAUCAGCAAAAUGCCACAGAAGGUCGCUAUUCAUUGAAUUUCCAGAAGGCAAACAAAUCCAUCCAGCUUGUCAUCUCAACUUCACAGCUGGCGGACUCUGCAGUGUAUUUCUGUGCACUGAUUGAGACCACAGUGAGAGGCAUGUUGGAGGGAGGUGUACCAAAACCGCAGGGCUCUGCUUGA